rnacentral:rRNA from 1 species
GUGUCAGCAGCCGCGGUAAUACGAAGGGGGCUAGCGUUGCUCGGAAUCACUGGGCGUAAAGCGCACGUAGGCGGCUUUCUAAGUCAGGGGUGAAAUCCUGGAGCUCAACUCCAGAACUGCCUUUGAUACUGGGAAGCUCGAGUCCGGAAGAGGUGAGUGGAACUGCGAGUGUAGAGGUGAAAUUCGUAGAUAUUCGCAAGAACACCAGUGGCGAAGGCGGCUCACUGGUCCGGUACUGACGCUGAGGUGCGAAAGCGUGGGGAGCAAACAGGAUUAGAAACCCUUGUAGUCC